GGGUUUAUUAGGUCAAUCCGAUCGGUUUUAGUGUGGACUUCUCCUCGAAGGACCACCACACUGUCUGUCCCGAGUUUGGAAUGCUUUCCGACUAAUACCAGGAGUAGUCAGACCGCCUGCAUUUCUGACUACAGGUAAACCAAUUGGGCCAAGCUGCAAAACUGUAAUGGCAAAUUAGGUGGGACUAAAUGGAAGUUUGAUGGCAACACAAUUAAGUUGUGUAUAUGGAUUCUAGAAGAUGCCGAGAAACAUGAAUGGUCGAAACAUGUCUACACUUUAGGGGAUUUGGCUGUGUUUA
rnacentral:sRNA from 1 species